AUGAAGGAUGCUACUGUGAGCCACACCACCCCAUCAGGAAGUGUUGAAGUGGAUGCCCCCGAGACCAACCUAAGCAAGGAAGAUUCCCGCUCAUCUGACACUGAUUCCAAGCGCGUGCGUGGUGGCACUCAUGUGCCCACGACAGAAGUUGCUGAGGCGGCAGUUCAUAAUGAUAUGCCAUCUGCAGAAGACCAGAGUACAACUGAUGCAGGUGCCAAGCCGGGCACGAGUGAUGAAGGUGAACGUCCAGAGCAGACUGCGCCUUUACCUGCAGUGGAAAUCCCCAGCUUAAAUCUGCGCACUUCCAAACUCCCAAUCAACAUCGGUGUCCCCUACAGCCCCAACAAGAGGAUUGUCAACAAAUCUAUGCCCGUCACCACUAACAGCACGCCCCGCCCUAUUGGCAAGCCUGAUGGUUCUGCAGCGGCUGAUCCAGAAGAUAUGUUUGUUGAUCUUUCACCGUUGGAUUCUGCCCCACAAGUUGUUCGCGGUCCGGCCAAUAUGCAUGAGAGGCACCCAAUGGCCUUCACCCCACCGAGCUUCAGCCUUGGCGUCAGUCAAGAUCAACCAGUGGCUCAAGAUCCUAUGCUAGUUGCCUUUGCUUUUCCUGGAGGCGUGCCCACAAUGAUGGUGCAGCCAAUGGUUGAGGGCAGGAAGGCUGUCAAGUUCAUAGAGCCGAUCGUCCAAGCCACCCCUGAGGAGAUUUCACCAUCACUUGAUGAAGCUUACCACAGGAUCGAGGAGGCAGCAUUGCAGAGGAGGUCCUCACAAGGGCAGGGGCAAUCAAGUUCCAACGUGCCUGCAAAUACGGUAUCUAAGGAUACCAUUAGGAGUGCCACCCCUAGUUCUGUGAGGCAGCAGAGGGUAGUUCACCCACCUCCCACGGAAGACUACGAGCCCGAAUUCAGGGCCACAAAGGAACAGAUAUUGUCAAGCGGUUUGGAAAUGCGAGGGCCAGCAGCAAGCACAUGA
rnacentral:rRNA from 1 species